rnacentral:rRNA from 1 species
UACGAAGGGGGCUAGCGUUGUUCGGAAUUACUGGGCGUAAAGCGCGCGCAGGCGGCUAUCCAAGUCAGUGGUGAAAGCCCGGAGCUCAACUCCGGAACUGCCAUUGAAACUGUUUAGCUUGAGGAUGAGAGAGGUGAGUGGAAUUCCCAGUGUAGAGGUGAAAUUCGUAGAUAUGUGGAGGAACACCAGUGGCGAAGGCGACUCUCUGGGCUGUAACUGACGCUGAGGCGCGAAAGCGUGGGGAGCAAACAGG